GUUUUUCUGUCCUGAAAUAAGCCAUGAUUGGCAAGAUCAGAAUUUGGUGUGUUCUGAUCUCCCGGCCUCUAGUUCCAUCUGUAUAAAUAGCCCAGUGUGCAAAAGCUGCCGUGAACGACUGACUUCCUUUUUCACCAGAGACCUUGGGCAGGGCGGCGGUUUUGCCCAUAAUAAAGUCAUCAGUAUGUUUGUGGCUGUAACCGGGCCAGUCAUUUCUCGGCUUCACACCCACGCACCUUGGUGCGGCGGAUCUGCAGUAUCCCUGGUCGCUCGCUGCGUGGACUGGCUCAGAGAUGCAGGGGGGAGUGGAGAUCAAGGCAAGGAGCAGGGGCCCGCGCGCCCCGGGCCCGGCACCUGCCUGCCUGGGGUCAGCGCCACGCGCCUGAGCUUCCGCCGCCGCGACACAGGCUGCCCAGGUUUUUUUCCAAGGGCAUCUGGAAGAGACUCUGGGAGGGUCCCGACGAACCACGUGGUGAUCCCUGGAGGCCGAGCUGAGGCGCGUGGGCGGAAACGACCCCUGGUCUCUGCUUUCUGCUUGAAACGCUCGCUCGCUCUGCACAUACCACAAGUUUUUUCAGAGCGACGUGAUACGUAUUUAAGGAGUCGGCCAAACCUCAAAUUACACUGUCUGAGAACCGAGCCACUGCAAAGAAAGCAGUUCGGUUAUUGGCAUGAAACGACAGGACGCUGGCGCGUGGAGAAACCACUAGUAAAAGUGGAAGGAAACGGCUUCGGAAGAUACGGUUACCUGUGUAAAGGAAGCUCAAGUUCCUACCAUCCAUUUCUGAUCAAGCCUGAAAGUGUGGUGCUGCUAGAAGGAGCGGCUGCGGUGUGGACGGAGGACACUAGUGUUCAAGAAGCUGGAAAGCCAGCCACCUGCAUUCUUCCAGCCAACAUUCAUUCCAGUUUCCUGUGACUUUUCCAGAAUCCUGACUCCUCCAGUGAGAAGCCCCCUGGAGCAGCGCUUCCCAAAGUAUAAUCAGCAGUGUGACAAAGGCUGCUCUUGAUCUGUCAAAACUUCGGUUUUCUUACCCAUAAAUCAUGGACUAUGGGAACCAAUAAAGCUAUGUGAGGAUUAAAUGAAAUAAUACCU
ensembl:lncRNA